GUCGACCGUGAACCGCCAAGGGCGAAGCGGCCCAAGGUAUGAUUCAUGAUUGGGGUG
rnacentral:rRNA from 1 species